rnacentral:tRNA from 1 species
UACAAUUUGGUGUAAAAGCACAUGAAGUUUUGAUUUUCAAAGGAUUGGUGUAAUUCCAUUAUUUGUAU